rnacentral:rRNA from 1 species
AACGAACGCUGGCGGCAUGCCUAACACAUGCAAGUCGAACGAGACCUUCGUGUCUAGUGGCGCACGGGUGCGUAACGCGUGGGAACCUGCCCUUAGGUUCGGAAUAACUCCCCGAAAGGGGUGCUAAUACCGGAUAAUGUCUUCGGACCAAAGAUUUAUCGCCUUUGGAUGGGCCCGCGUUGGAUUAGCUAGUUGGUAGGGUAAAAGCCUACCAAGGCGACGAUCCACAGCUGGUCUGAGAGGAUGAUCAGCCACACUGGGACUGAGACACGGCCCAGACUCCUACGGGAGGCAGCAGUGGGGAAUAUUGGACAAUGGGCGAAAGCCUGAUCCAGCAAUGCCGCGUGAGUGAUGAAGGCCUUAGGGUUGUAAAGCUCUUUUACCCGGGAUGAUAAUGACAGUACCGGGAGAAUAAGCUCCGGCUAACUCCGUG